AAAUACUCUCUAGUGACCGAUAGUGAACCAGUACCGUGAGGGAAAGGUGAAAAGCACCCCGGAAGGGGAGUGAAAUAGAACCUGAAACCGUGUGCUUACAAGUAGUCAGAGCCCGUUAAUGGGUGAUGGCGUGCCUUUUGUAGAAUGAACCGGCGAGUUACGAUUUGAUGCAAGGUUAAGCAGUAAAUGUGGAGCCGUAGCGAAAGCGAGUCUGAAUAGGGCGUUUAGUAUUUGGUCGUAGACCCGAAACCAGGUGAUCUACCCUUGGUCAGGUUGAAGUUCAGGUAACACUGAAUGGAGGACCGAACCGACUUACGUUGAAAAGUGAGCGGAUGAACUGAGGGUAGCGGAGAAAUUCCAAUCGAACCUGGAGAUAGCUGGUUCUCUCCGAAAUAGCUUUAGGGCUAGCCUCAAGUGAUGAUUAUUGGAGGUAGAGCACUGUUUGGACGAGGGGCCCCUCUCGGGUUACCGAAUUCAGACAAACUCCGAAUGCCAAUUAAUUUAACUUGGGAGUCAGAACAUGGGUGAUAAGGUCCGUGUUCGAAAGGGAAACAGCCCAGACCACCAGCUAAGGUCCCAAAAUAUAUGUUAAGUGGAAAAGGAUGUGGCGUUGCCCAGACAACUAGGAUGUUGGCUUAGAAGCAGCCAUCAUUUAAAGAGUGCGUAAUAGCUCACUAGUCGAGUGACACUGCGCCGAAAAUGUACCGGGGCUAAACAUAUUACCGAAGCUGUGGAUUGUCCUUUGGACAAUGGUAGGAGAGCGUUCUAAGGGCGUUGAAGCAUGAUCGUAAGGACAUGUGGAGCGCUUAGAAGUGAGAAUGCCGGUGUGAGUAGCGAAAGACGGGUGAGAAUCCCGUCCACCGAUUGACUAAGGUUUCCAGAGGAAGGCUCGUCCGCUCUGGGUUAGUCGGGUCCUAAGCUGAGGCCGACAGGCGUAGGCGAUGGAUAACAGGUUGAUAUUCCUGUACCACCUAUAAUCGUUUUAAUCGAUGGGGGGACGCAGUAGGAUAGGCGAAGCGUGCGAUUGGAUUGCACGUCUAAGCAGUAAGGCUGAGUAUUAGGCAAAUCCGGUACUCGUUAAGGCUGAGCUGUGAUGGGGAGAAGACAUUGUGUCUUCGAGUCGUUGAUUUCACACUGCCGAGAAAAGCCUCUAGAUAGAAAAUAGGUGCCCGUACCGCAAACCGACACAGGUAGUCAAGAUGAGAAUUCUAAGGUGAGCGAGCGAACUCUCGUUAAGGAACUCGGCAAAAUGACCCCGUAACUUCGGGAGAAGGGGUGCUCUUUAGGGUUAACGCCCAGAAGAGCCGCAGUGAAUAGGCCCAAGCGACUGUUUAUCAAAAACACAGGUCUCUGCUAAACCGUAAGGUGAUGUAUAGGGGCUGACGCCUGCCCGGUGCUGGAAGGUUAAGAGGAGUGGUUAGCUUCUGCGAAGCUACGAAUCGAAGCCCCAGUAAACGGCGGCCGUAACUAUAACGGUCCUAAGGUAGCGAAAUUCCUUGUCGGGUAAGUUCCGACCCGCACGAAAGGCGUAACGAUUUGGGCACUGUCUCAACGAGAGACUCGGUGAAAUCAUAGUACCUGUGAAGAUGCAGGUUACCCGCGACAGGACGGAAAGACCCCGUGGAGCUUUACUGUAGCCUGAUAUUGAAAUUCGGCACAGCUUGUACAGGAUAGGUAGGAGCCUUUGAAACGUGAGCGCUAGCUUACGUGGAGGCGCUGGUGGGAUACUACCCUAGCUGUGUUGGCUUUCUAACCCGCACCACUUA
rnacentral:rRNA from 1 species